CUCUCUCUCUCUCUCUCUCUCUCUGUCUCUGUUUAUACAGAUAGAUACAGAUAGAUAGAUGUGCACAGGUACAGACUUGUGCUUGUGGAGUAUAAAUGUAAGAGCAUGAAGCACAGUGUGUCUCUCCCCACAGGCACCUCCCGCCUCGCGCCUUCCUUCCUCCCGUCUCCCGGAGUGUACACACUUGCACUCUUGAGGCUGCUGGCGAGAAGAACUGUGUCCCAAGCCCUCCACCAUGGCCGCCGCUCCGAAAGUUUGCGUCCGUCGCGCGAAGCUCAUCUUCCUGAUGGAGAACGCAGGCAAGGACGUCUUGACCUUCGUGUUGAAGCGCGGCGCGCUGAACGCCCCCGCCACGCCGCCAGGCCAGUCCCUCAUUGACUGACUACCUUGACAACCUCCCUCAAGGCUCGACAGCCAACUAUGCCAGGAUGAGUAACAAACAAAAGAAAGCAGCACUGAACCACAGUUCAGUGCUGCUUAUCCUCUGACGUGACUACUUUAUUCAUUAUUUUUU